rnacentral:rRNA from 1 species
UACGGGGGGAGCAAGCGUUGUUCGGAUUUACUGGGCGUAAAGGGCGCGUAGGCGGCGCAACAAGUCACUUGUGAAAUCUCCGGGCUUAACCCGGAGCGGUCAAGUGAUACUGUCGUGCUAGAGUGCGGAAGGGGCUACUGGAAUUCUCGGUGUAGCGGUGAAAUGCGUAGAUAUCGAGAGGGAACACCCUGCGGGCGAAGGCGGGUAGCUGGGCCGACACUGACGCUGAUGCGCGAAAGCGUGGGGAGCAAACAGG